rnacentral:rRNA from 1 species
AGUCCACAUCGACGGGGAGGUUUGGCACCUCGAUGUCGGCUCAUCACAUCCUGGGGCUGUAGUAGGUCCCAAGGGUUGGGCUGUUCGCCCAUUAAAGUGGUACGCGAGCUGGGUUCAGAACGUCGUGAGACAGUUCGGUCCCUAGCCGUCGCAGGCGUAGGAAAUUUGAGAAGACCUGUCCUUAGUACGAGAGGACCGGGAUGGACGUACCUCUGGUGUACCAGUUGUCCUGCCAAGGGCAUGGCUGGGUAGCUAUGUACGGAAUGGAUAAGCGCUGAAAGCAUCUAAGCGCGAAGCCAACUUCAAGAUAAGAUUUCCCACCGCAAGGGUAAGACCCCAGAAAGACUAUCUGGUUG